GACGUAGGUGGCAAGCGUUGUCCGGAUUUACUGGGCGUAAAGGAUGCGUAGGCGGACAUUUAAGUCAGAUGUGAAAUACCCGAGCUUAACUUGGGAGCUGCAUUUGAAACUGGGUGUCUAGAGUGCAGGAGAGGUAAGUGGAAUUCCUAGUGUAGCGGUGAAAUGCGUAGAGAUUAGGAAGAACGCCAGUGGCGAAGGCGACUUACUGGACUAUAACUGACGCUGAGGCAUGAAAGCGUGGGGAGCAAACAGG
rnacentral:rRNA from 1 species